UACGUAGGGUGCAAGCGUUGUCCGGAAUUAUUGGGCGUAAAGAGCUCGUAGGCGGUUUGUCGCGUCUGCUGUGAAAACCCGAGGCUCAACCUCGGCCUGCAGUGGGUACGGGCGAGACUAGAGUGCGGUAGGGGAGAUUGGAAUUCCUGGUGUAGCGGUGAAAUGCGUAGAAUAUCGAGAGGAACACCAGAGGUGAAGACGGGUUGCUGGGCCGACACUGACGCUGACAGCGCGA
rnacentral:rRNA from 1 species